GCGGACUUAGUACAGUCGGUAGUACGUAUCCUUGCCAAGGAUAAGGUCACGGGUUCGAGCCCCGUAGUUCGCUCCA
rnacentral:tRNA from 1 species